UCGUUCAUUUCGUGUUCUCACCCGUAGAAGAACGGACGUGCCGAUAAAAAUCUAGAGUGUAAAAAAAAAGUGUAGAACAUGGCGGUCGUACUGUUCCAAUUGCCCUGCGAAUAUUCCUCUGAAGAUGGAACCUAGCGUUCCAUCGGAAGGGAAUAUUUCGCAGAGGCAAUAUCACGUUUCGAAAACACUUUGUUGUACGAACAUAGCGGGAGAAAAGAGAAGCUGACAUCAGAUAAGAUUUUACAAUAAUACGAAUCAAAUCCAAGCAGGAGUUUCGGAUGAUUUACAAACUGGAUCGCAGAAAAUACUAAGGCAACUUAUUUGUUAUUCAACACAAUAGUCAGUAAUUAUAAAACAACAAAAAGUAUGAUUGCUAAUAAACAAGUAUUUUAAGCAAAAAAGU